rnacentral:rRNA from 1 species
GGGGAAUAUUGGACAAUGGGCGAAAGCCUGAUCCAGCAAUGCCGCGUGAGUGAGGAAGGCCUUAGGGUUGUAAAGCUCUUUCGGCGGGGACGAUGAUGACGGUACCCGCAGAAGAAGCCCCGGCUAACUUCGUGCCAGCAGCCGCGGUAAUACGGGGGGGGCAAGCGUUGUUCGGAAUUACUGGGCGUAAAGGGCUCGUAGGCGGCCAACUAAGUCCGACGUGAAAUCCCCAGGCUUAACCUGGGAACUGCGUCGGAUACUGGAUGGCUUGAAUUCGGGAGAGGGAUGCAGAAUUCCAGGUGUAGCGGUGAAAUGCGUAGAUAUCUGGAGGAAUACCGGUGGCGAAGGCGGCAUCCUGGACCGACAUUGACGCUGAUGAGCGAAAGCUAGGGGAGCAAAC